UGCUGCGCGCGCCUCUGAACCUCCUGCGCCACUUUAGAUUUCGCCUGCUGUUUUCCUGGUGGCUUCCCCAAACCAAACCUGUGUGGCUGAGUACGGCAGCGCUUUGGGGACAAAAAUCUUUCUCUUCCCUGGGCUCGGCCUUGUACUUAAUCGUUCCGUGGUUGAAUCGGGCGGCAAGUAUUUGUGUCUCCAUUGCGCUGCUAUCCAGGAGGUAGGGGGAGGCUGAGCCCGGCGUUGAGUUCGGGCUGACUGGGGCUUGGGCCCAGCGAGUCGGUGCUGCUGCGCGGAUGUUGCGAUGGCUGAUCGGGGGAGGCCGAGAACCUCAGGGACUGGCGGAGAAAUCUCCUUUACAGACAAUAGGUGAAGAACAAACCCAGAAUCCCUACACUGAACUGCUUGUACUGAAAGCUCAUCAUGAUAUUGUACGAUUUCUGGUGCAGUUAGAUGAAUACAGAUUUGCGUCUGCUGGUGAUGACGGAAUUGUAGUUGUGUGGAAUGCCCAGACAGGAGAAAAACUUCUGGAACUUAAUGGACACACUCAAAAGAUAACAGCUCUUAUUACAUUUCCUUCCUUGGAAGCUUGUGAAGAAAAAAACCAACUGAUCUUGACAACCUCUGCUGAUAGAACAGUUAUUUUAUGGGAUUGUGAUACUGGCAGACAAGUUCGGAAAGUAUCCUGCUUCCAGUCUACUGUGAAGUGUUUAAUUGUUCUUCAGAGACUAAAUGUUUGGCUCUCUGGUGGGAAUGACCUAUGUGUGUGGAACCAAAAAUUAGAUCUCCUGUGUAAGACCAGUCACCUUUCUGAUACAGGGAUCAGUGCUUUGAUUGAAAUACCUAAGAACUGUGUUGUGGCAGCAGUUGGCAAAGAACUGAUAAUUUUCCGGCUGGUAGCACCCACAGAAGAAUCACUGGAAUGGAAUAUUCUUGAAAUUAAGCGCCUCCUUGAUCACCAGGAUAAUAUUCUCUCAUUGGUUAAUGUCAAUGAUGUGAGUUUUGUAACUGGCUCCCAUGUUGGAGAAAUGAUCAUCUGGGAUAUUCUGGACUGGACCGUGCAAGCCUGUGAAUGCAACUUCUGGGACCCAUCCCCACAGCUGGACACCCAGCAAGAAAUAAAACUCUGCCAAAAACCAAACGACAUUUCUAUUCAUCAUUUCACAUGGGAUGAAGAGAAUGUAUUUGCUGCAGUUGGAAGGGGUUUAUACGUGUAUAACCUUCACAUGAAGCGUGUGAUUGCUUGCCAGAAAAGUGCCCAUGACUCUAAUGUCCUGCACAUUGCCAAACUUCCGAACAGGCAGUUAAUCUCAUGCUCGGAAGACGGCAGUGUACGCAUUUGGGAGUUAAGAGAAAAACAGCAGCUUGCAGCUGAACCUGUACCAACAGGUUUUUUUAACAUGUGGGGAUUUGGAAGAGUGAACAAGCAAGCCAGCCAACCUGUUAAAAAGCAACAAGAAAAUGCUCCUCCAUGUUCAUUGGAGCUCAUUGGAGAUUUGAUUGGACACUCCUCAUCUGUGGAGAUGUUUCUGUACUUUGAAGAUCAUGGACUAGUGACAUGCUCUGCUGACCAUCUCAUUAUUUUGUGGAAAAACGGAGAAAGAGAAUCUGGAUUGCGCAGUUUAAAAUUAUUUCAAAAGUUAGAGGAGAAUGGUGACUUAUAUCUUGCGGUCUAGUUGAAGGAAUUUGGAGCACAUGUGCAUGAACCUUGAACAUCAAAUACAGGGGGAAAUGCUUACCUCAGCUGCCAUUGGCUUAUUGAUGCUGUUCACAAAUUUGUUCACAUGUUCAAAGUGUUUGGUCAUCUCUGUUGCUAAAACCAUGUCAAUAAUAGCCUGGCGCAGUGUUCGGUAAUGGGUCCUAAAAUAACCAGAAGACAAAGAGCUUUGUUCAUAUCAUGGCCAAAAUGAGAACUGUUCUACCAUUUCACCACACUUCCACAGUGUGGGAGGAAGCUGGGGGCAUGGAGUUGAGAACUGAGUGCAGAUCAUCAAGUUUACCUGCUCCUCUUCCCGAAGUUAACCCAGCGCUGGGCAACCCUGAUUGCAGAGUGGAGGAGGGAGCUGCCACUCACCUUUGUGAUGGGAGCCUCUAUGGUCAUGGAAUGGAUCCUUGCCAUGGAUGGAUAGCGACGAUUCUGUAGGCUUGGUGCUGAAGAGAAUAAAGGAAGUUGUAUCUGG